rnacentral:lncRNA from 1 species
UGUUUUAGUGCAUCAAUUAAUUAUUAAGUUUGCAAUUUUUUUCAUAAAAUUGGAAAAAAAUUGAUUUAUGUUGGACUAGACCGAUCUUGCAUAUUUUAUUAUUUAUUAAGAAAAUUAAAGGAUGAGAAAGGGGUGGUGGAAAUGUCCUUAUCCCGUGUUAUGCCGGUGUACCCGCCAUUGUCUUGGCCACAAAUUAUACUCUCAAUUUAUGCAAAUAAAUUUUAAACUUUCUUAAGUCUUUUGAUAUAUUUGGUCUAUGCUUUAAUAUCAGCUUCGUACAAACAUGUGCAGUUAAUAUUUAAAACUCUUGUACACGCGACCUCGUUUCCCAUCAAAAACCCACCCAAUCUUCCACCGUCUGCGGCUCCACGGCAGCCAUGCUUUGCUGCCGCCUCCUCUUGUUUCCUCCGGUGGCCACGAUGUGGCGCCCAAGUAGGCCAGAGCCCACAGGGACAUUGAGCUCCGCAAUGUGCACGGGGAGGAGCGCGGGCCAAGUGUUCGACGGAAUUCCCUAACGGGUUAUUUUGUUUCUAUUUCCAUGCUCUCGGAAGUAAUUUUUUUUACAGCAAAAAGUUCUAGAAAUUAUAAGUACUGAUUUAAAAAUCGAAACGUCAGGAACAAACCUACCAAAA